rnacentral:rRNA from 1 species
UACAGAGGUCUCAAGCGUUGUUCGGAUUCAUUGGGCGUAAAGGGUGCGUAGGCGGCGCGGUAAGUCGGGUGUGAAAUCUUGGAGCUUAACUCCGAAACUGCAUUCGAUACUGCCGUGCUUGAGGACUGGAGAGGAGACUGGAAUUUACGGUGUAGCGGUGAAAUUCGUAGAUAUUCGCAAGAACACCAGUGGCGAAGGCGGCUCACUGGCCCGUAACUGACGCUGAGGCACGAAAGCGUGGGGAGCAAACAGG